GCAGAGGAGAUAGAAGAAGCUUGAUGGCGGUGGAGGCAUAAGAAGCCUGACGGCUGAGAAGGCGUGGCGAGCAUAUCGGUUCGUCGGUUCAGCCGUAACACCGGUGGCUCUACCACCAGCAGACUCAUCGCUUAACCCAUGGCAUCCAGAGCAGGUGGAGGUGUCGGUGUAAAAUCUGAUGGAGGUGUCGGUGGAGAAGCCGGUGGCGGAGCCGAUGGUGGAGCGGUGGAGGCGUUGAUAUAUAUAUAUAUAUGUAUGUAAUUUUCUGUAAAUAUAUGUAAUUACGUAUAUUACAUAAUUUGUGUUUUCUGAAUUAAAUUACUAAAAAAAUUAUUUUUAUUUUGUGUUUUUUUUUUUUUUAAAUAUUUUUUGCAGAUAGUCACGUAAAGUCACAAUAAAAAAACGUGACUGAGUAGAUACAAUUGUUUUUAUGACUAAUGUGACAAUUAUAGUCACGAAUGAAACUGUGUCCAACAUGUGACUAUUUUAGUCACGAAUUAUCACAGUUAAUUUUGGUCACGACCGUAUAGACACAUUUUUUUUCCGUGACUUUUCGUGUCUAUGAUGUCAUAUAGUCACGAAAAAUGAGUCUCAGUCACGAAAAUUACCGUGUCUAUAUCAAAGUUUUCUACUAGUGUAACUAAUGCAUGGAUAUAUAUAUUAUAAGCAAUAGAGG
rnacentral:lncRNA from 1 species